rnacentral:rRNA from 1 species
UACGUAGGGGGGCAAGCGUUUGUCCGGAAUUAUUGGGCGUAAAGAGCGCGUAGGCGGUCCGGUAAGUCGGUUGUGAAAGUCGGGGGCUCAACCCUCGGAUGCCGAUCGAUACUGCCGGGCUAGAGUCCGGAAGAGGCGAGUGGAAUUCCUGGUGUAGCGGUGAAUGCGCAGAUAUCGGGAGGAACACCAAUGGCGAAGGCGAGCUCGCUGGGACGGUACGUGA